GUCCCUCGCGAGACGUCAUCCCCCCGCGCCGGAGGUGGAGCGCAGGCCCGAGGCCGUGCUUCCGGGCGCUCCGUCUCCGGCAAGCGGGUCGUGUUUAAGGAGCGGUGGCGGCGCCGGGGGCGUGAGGGAAGUGCUUUUUGUAACACAAAUGGGUGAUGAAAAGGAAUCGUGGAAGGUGAAAACGUUAGAUGAAAUUCUUCAAGAGAAGAAACGCCGGAAGGAGCAGGAAGAAAAAGCAGAUAUCAAGCGCCUCAAAAAUUCUGAUGACCGGGAUUCAAAACGGGAUUCCCUUGAAGAGGGUGAGUUAAGAGAUCACCGCAUGGAGAUCACUAUUAGAAAUUCACCUUACAGGAGAGAAGACUCUAUGGACGACAGGGGAGAGGAGGACGAUUCCCUGGCAAUCAAACCCCCCCAGCAAAUGUCACGCAAGGAGAAAGCCCACCACAGAAAGGACGAGAAGCGGAAAGAAAAAAGACGGCAUCGCAGUCACUCAGCAGAAGGGAAGCAUGUUAGAGUGAAAGAAAAAGAACGUGAGCAUGAACGUAGAAAAAGACACCGCGAAGAGCAGGAUAAGGCCCGUCGCGAAUGGGAGAGGCAGAAAAGGAGAGAAUUGGCUAGGGAGCACUCGCGGAGAGAGAGGGACCGUUUGGAGCAGCUGGAACGAAAACGGGAACGGGAAAGGAAAUUAAGGGAGCAGCAGAAGGAGCAGCGAGAGUUGAAAGAACGGGAGAGGCGAGCGGAAGAAAGGCGGAAAGAACGGGAAGCCAGACGGGAGAUUUCAGGGCAUCAUAGGACAAUGAGAGAAGACUACGGGGAGAAAGUAAGGCUAUGGAGCCGAAGUCCCCUGCGGCAACAGAGAGAAAAACUUGAACUGUCAGAAAUCAGGAAACCAGCGAGAGAGGAAAAAACAGAAGGAAAAGACCCUUUAUCCGAUCUUCAAGAUAUCAGCGACAGUGAGCGAAAAACCAGCUCGGCCGAAACCUCAUCAGGGGAAUCAGGAUCGGCUUCAGAGGAAGAAGAGGAGGAGGAGGAAGAGGAGGAGGAAGAAUCCAGCAGUGAAGAGUCAGAAGAGGAAGAAGAGGAAGAGGAGGAGGAGGAGGAGGAGACAGGAAGCAAUUCGGAGGAAAUAUCCGAACAGUCAGCUGAAGAGGUGAGCGAAGACGAAAUGAGCGAAGAAGAGGAACGAGAAAACGGAGACCAUCUUCCAAUUGUUACAGAGUCGCGGUUUGACCAGGACUCCGUGGGAAGCGAAGCGGAGGACGACGAAGUCGUGGAAGGAAGCCCGCAGUCCAACGCCCUGACGGAAGGCGAAUUCCUUCCCGAUUCCCCUAUCUCCUCGCCUGCAGAACUGAAACGAGAGCUGCCCAAAUACCUCCCAGCCCUCCAGGGCUGCCGCAGCGUGGAAGAGUUCCAGUGCUUGAACCGGAUCGAGGAAGGGACUUACGGCGUGGUGUACAGAGCAAAAGACAAAAAAACAGAUGAAAUUGUGGCCUUGAAGCGAUUAAAAAUGGAGAAGGAAAAAGAAGGUUUUCCUAUUACUUCCUUGAGAGAGAUCAACACCAUCCUCAAAGCUCAGCACCCAAAUAUUGUCACUGUUAGGGAGAUCGUCGUCGGGAGCAACAUGGACAAGAUCUACAUCGUGAUGAACUACGUUGAGCAUGACCUCAAGAGCUUGAUGGAAACGAUGAAACAGCCUUUUCUGCCAGGGGAAGUGAAAACCUUGAUGAUUCAGUUGCUCCGGGGGGUCAAACACCUGCACGACAAUUGGAUUCUCCACCGGGACUUGAAAACCUCAAACUUGCUCUUGAGCCAUGCUGGGAUUUUAAAAGUUGGAGAUUUUGGACUGGCACGAGAAUACGGUUCUCCCUUAAAGCCAUACACCCCGGUUGUCGUGACGUUGUGGUACCGCGCGCCCGAGCUCUUACUCGGAGCCAAGGAAUAUUCCACGGCCAUCGACAUGUGGUCUGUGGGCUGCAUCUUUGGAGAGCUGUUAACCCAGAAGCCACUAUUCCCAGGGAAAUCUGAAAUCGACCAAAUUAACAAAGUUUUUAAAGACUUGGGAACCCCGAGUGAAAAAAUCUGGCCGGGUUAUAACGAGCUGCCGGCAGUCAAAAAAAUGACCUUCACGGAGUAUCCAUACAAUAACCUCCGCAAGCGGUUUGGCGCCCUACUCUCGGAUCAAGGAUUCGAUCUCAUGAAUAAGUUCUUGACCUACUUCCCUGGCAGAAGGAUCACCGCUGAAGACGGCUUAAAGCACGAAUAUUUCCGUGAGACCCCACAGCCCAUCGACCCCUCCAUGUUUCCAACGUGGCCAGCCAAAAGCGAGCAGCAGCGAGUGAAACGGGGCACAAGCCCCCGGCCCCCAGAAGGGGGGCUGGGUUACAGUCAGCUGGGUGACGACGACAUAAAAGAGACCGGUUUCCAUUUGACGACCACAAAUCAAGGCGCGUCGGCUGCAGGACCAGGAUUCAGCCUGAAGUUUUAAAUGGAGGGGCCAAAGGCACGACCUCGCGAGAGGAGCCAGAAGGAAGGGAAAUUGCGUUCUCUACGCUGAUUACUUUUUUUUUUUUUUUUUUUGCAGAAUAUUCUCUGCAAUUGGGACCCUCUUCUGGAUCAAAAUAGAGAAAGUUGGAUUCCUUUUUAACGAUUGGAAUUAAUUCAAAAAAACCCAAGGACCCUUUUUUUGGGGGGGGGGGAACCACCAUCGCCAUCAUGAGAACAAAAAUCCCAGCUAACUUGAGGAACUAUUAUUUUUUUAAAAAAAGAAAAAACACCUUUUGUUUCUAUUUAUGUUUUUCCCACUCAGAUUAGUUUUGGGGGUUUUUUUUUUCUUGCUUGUACAUAUGUAGAAUAAAAAAAGAAGAUGAUUUUUAAUUGUUUACUCGGUGCAAAUCACCUUGUUUUCUUUGCUCCCUUCAAUCUUGUGUUUGAUUGUGUUUUAACACUUGGUGCAUUUUCCUUCUAGCCAUCCCGCAGUUGGUGUUGUGGCUUUGUGAUUCCUCAGCUGAGAAAGAAAGAUAAUGUAACAUUUUGCACCAGAUGCUGUGAGAGAGAGAGAGAGAAAGAGAGGGAGACGAGAAAGAACGUGCAAAUUGUGAUAGCAUAGUUUGGCCUUUUGAGAUGACUUUGAUCUAGUUGUUAGCUUCCAAACGUGCCACCAGGACAAGAUGAACAGAACAUUGCUCAGAAAGCUUUCUUAUCAGAUUGGAAAAGGGUUGUAUAAAAUGGAACUUUUUUUUAAGGAAGCAUUGUCCACAUUGCAAUUGGUGUAGCGGUAUAUAUAUAUAUUCAUCUUAAUGGCAAUCUUGUAAACACUGAAAAGGUAAGAAAACUGUUCUUGUGUACACGCUGGCACGUUUCUCUGUUUUCUCUGAUGCACACUGAGGUUGCUGCGUAACAGUAACUAUAUAUAGGCAGUCCUUGACUUACAAGCAAAACUGGGGCUAGGAUUUCCAUUGUUGUUAAGAUUGGAUGACCUCUUUUUGCCCCAGUUGGUUAAGCAAAGCACACUGCGUCUGUCAAGUGGAUCACAUUGUCAUUAAACAAAUCCAGCAUUCUCCCAUUGAUUUUGCGUCUCGGAAGCCAGCUGGGAAGAGGGUGAUCCCAGGAACUCUGCAACGUGUCAGUUGCGAAGCACCCAAAUUUUGAUCGCGUCCCUUUGGAGAUGCUGCAACAGUUGUAAAUGCCGGUUGGUUAUUUCAGUAUUUUUGUAACUUUGAAUGGUUGCUAAACGAAUAGUCAUAAAACAAGGACUGCCUGUAAUGUGUUGACAGUGUGCUGCAGGCCACCUCUAGUGUUGUCUGUAUCUGCAUGACAACACCCCCCACACACACACACACACAGACACACAAAGUAACAAAUCUUAAUGUGUGUUUUCUCCUGUCUUCGAUGUUGCUAGUCCUUGCCUUGGAUGGAUCCCGAAAAAUUGGAUUAAUUAGAUAAACUAUGAUUCAGCUAACCAAAGAUUAGAGUAACUAUGAAUACAGUCUCUUUGUCCCUCUGUGGCGCCUUCCUAUUUGCAUGAGAAUGCCUGACAUUCUCUAAUGGAUUAACCUUAUUUUCCCAAUAAUGUUUAGCUCUUCUAAUGUUUUAUGAACAUUGUUCAUAAUGUCUAAGCUUUCUUUGUGUAUGACAAAUUGAACGGAAUCAGUGGUGUCGUGAACCCAUGACUCAGUAUUGUUUCUCAAACUUGGCAAUUUUAAGACGUGUAGAAACUUCCCAGCCAGCUAAAUUUCAUUACUGGGAGCUAAUAAGCCUCAAACACAUGUCCUGGCGUGUUCUAAUGACAUGAUCACGUCUCACAGUAAUACGGCAAGCGUACAUGUUCACAAGCCAUCGUAAAUAUCAGUACGGAAAUGCUUUAUUUGAGCAGGAAGGCAAAAAGGGUAAAUUUUUGGUGAAAUCCUUUAAGGAUCAACUGUCCUGUACCUUUCCAGGAGCUAUACCUGAGCUGGCAAAUUCUUUCUGUUGACCCACGUAAAAAAAAAA